UCCCUGGUGGCUCAGAUUGGUAAAGCGUCUGCCUACAAUGCGGGAGACCCGGGUUCAAGCCCUGGGUUGGGAA
rfam:TPA: Bos taurus chromosome 4, whole genome shotgun sequence.